AAGUCGUAACAAGGUUUCCGUAGGUGAACCUGCGGAAGGAUCAUUAUCGAGUUAGGGUGCUUCAUGGCCUGACCUCCAACCUGUGUUUAUCAUACCACGUUGCUUCGGCGGGGUCCGUCUUUCAUCGGACCGCCGGGGGUCGCCGAGGACUUCUGGCCCGCCGCCCGCCGAUGCCCCAAUAAACUCUGUAUAACCAUGUUGUCUGAGUUCUAAAAUUAAAUAAAAACAAAA
rnacentral:misc_RNA from 1 species